rnacentral:rRNA from 1 species
CUUGGUCAUUUAGAGGAAGUAAAAGUCGUAACAAGGUCUCCGUUGGUGAACCAGCGGAGGGAUCAUUACCGAGUUUACAACUCCCAAACCCAAUGUGAACGUUACCAAACUGUUGCCUCGGCGGGAUCUUCUGCCCCGGGUGCGUCGCAGCCCCGGACCAAGGCGCCCGCCGGAGGAAUCAACCAAAACUCUUAUUGUAUACCCCCUCGCGGGUUUUUUUUAUAAUCUGAGCCUUCUCGGCGCCUCCCGUAGGCGUUUCGAAAAUGAAUCAAAACUUUCAACAACGGAUCUCUUGGUUCUGGCAUCGAUGAAGAACGCAGCGAAAUGCGAUAAGUAAUGUGAAUUGCAGAAUUCAGUGAAUCAUCGAAUCUUUGAACGCACAUUGCGCCCGCCAGUAUUCUGGCGGGCAUGCCUGUCCGAGCGUCAUUUCAGCCCUCGAACCCCUCCGGGGGGUCGGCGUUGGGGAUCGGCCUUCCUUCACGGGGGCCGUCUCCGAAAUACAGUGGCGGUCUCGCCGCAGCCUCUCCUGCGCAGUAGUUUGCACACUCGCAUCGGGAGCGCGGCGCGUCCACAGCCGUUAAACACCCAACUUUCUGAAAUGUUGACCUCGGAUCAGGUAGGAAUACCCGCUGAACUUAAGCAUAUCAAUAAGCGGAGGA